GGCGGAAUGGCCGAGCGGUCUAAGGCGCCAGACUAAGGAUCUGGUCCGAAAGGGCGCGAGUUCGAAUCUCGCUUCCGUCA
rnacentral:tRNA from 1 species